rnacentral:miRNA from 1 species
CUUCCAUCUCCAUCACCUUGAG